CUUUCUUAGACACAGUGAAUUAGAACUGAUAAGAAACAGGGAUGUGAUCUGGAAAUCUGUAUUUUUAACAAGUUCUCCCAGAGUUUUAGGUAUGAAAAUAAGAUCAAGAAAAGAAAAAUCCACAUGCUCCCGACACGAAGCUGGAUCAGCAAUAUUCUCCCAGGAAGCUGAGGUCAAGUCAUGUUCCCAGGACUUCACUGUUGCUAAGGCCUCACUCACAGGAACGCACGACUGCCUCUUCCUAAGAGUCCUGAAACGCUACAUUUGAACAAAGUACUUCUCCAGGCUAAAUUCCUUCAAUUUACAGGACUUUUUAUCUCAUUAAAAAUACCUUACUGAUCUAGUGAUGAUUAACUGUUCACAUAGUUCUCGACUGGAUGGCAAAGGGUGAAAACUCCCCUCACCCCUUCCUUUUUUCUCUCCCUCUGCCUAUUAAUACCAAUGCAGCCCUAAUAUCAGGGAAGGCCGGCAUGACUGUUUG
rnacentral:lncRNA from 1 species